CCUCCGCCUCCUCUCAACUUGCCUCUGUUUUGGAGGUUCAGUCAAAGCUGACACGUUGCUCAAGACUACAGGUGCCCAAAGGGGCUCCACCAGGUCCCGGGUUGGGCGAGCUGCUUCCUGCCCCUCCUCCGCCCCAUCACGGGGACCUAGAGGACGUUGGGUGGUGUCUUUGGUGAGCAGCCUGGGGCCCAGGAGCAGAGGGAGGACCCCCAUUUGUCAUGCUGGGUGAAGCCAGGAUGGUGUCUAAGUGCAGCUGACCCGCACCACAUGUAAGGCUGCCUGGCUAGCGAGGGUCAGAAAGACAGAGCUCGAACUUGGGACUCCUGAUUGGUGCUCUUUCCACUGCACCCCAACACCCACGUGUGAGAAGUAGGGGGACAGCCCAAGACCACCCUGACUCUGACACCACCCGCAAGUUCUCCUCACUCAUACGUCGUCACCCCUCUCUCUCGGGGCUCCCAGCAGCGACAGCCCCCACCUAGUCCUCGGCUGGGGGUGGGGGGCAGCAGGGACUGGUCCACACAGGAACCACAUCACGAUCCUCACCUCUGGCUGCGGCAACAACUUUAUUUGAUUUGAUGUAUAUGAAAGAAAUAAAACUCAGAAGCCAAUUGACUUAAACAUGGAA
rnacentral:lncRNA from 1 species